AUGUUCCUACGGGGGGCAGCAGUGAGGAAUAUUGGUCAAUGGGCGGAAGCCUGAACCAGCCAAGUCGCGUGAGGGAAUAAGGCCCUACGAGUCGUAAACCUCUUUUGCCGGGGAGCAAGGGCCGGGACGCGUCCCGGCCCGGAGAGUACCCGGAGAAAAAGCAUCGGCUAACUCCGUGCCAGCAGCCGCGGUAAUACGGAGGAUGCGAGCGUUAUCCGGAUUUAUUGGGUUUAAAGGGUGCGUAUGCGGGCUUUUAAGUCAGCGGUAAAAAUUCGGGGCUCAACCCCGUCCGGCCGU
rnacentral:rRNA from 1 species